rnacentral:rRNA from 1 species
GAUGAACGCUGGCGGCGUGCCUAAUACAUGCAAGUCGAGCGGACCAAAGAGAGCUUGCUCUCUGAGGUUAGCGGCGGACGGGUGAGUAACACGUGGGUAACCUGCCUGUAAGACGGGGAUAACCUCGGGAAACCGAAGCUAAUACCGGAUGAUAAAGAGAAACGCCUGUUUCUUUUUUGAAAGUCGGCCUUGUGCUGACGCUUACAGAUGGGCCCGCGGCGCAUUAGCUAGUUGGUGAAGUAACGGCUCACCAAGGCGACGAUGCGUAGCCGGCCUGAGAGGGUGAUCGGCCACACUGGGACUGAUACACGGCCCAUACUCCUACGGGAGGCAGCAGUAGGGAAUCUUCGGCAAUGGACGAAAGUCUGACCGAGCAACGCCGCGUGAGCGAUGAAGGCCUUCGGGUCGUAAAGCUCUGUUGUCAGAGAAGAACAAGUACCGGAGUAACUGCCGGUACCUUGACGGUACCUGACCAGAAAGCCACGGCUAACUACGUGCCAGCCGCCGCCGUAAGAC